GAACAUGGGGAUGAACUAAGCCAUGCGAGUCAUUGUAGCAAUACAAGGCAGACGGCUCAGUAACGCGUAGUCAACCUACCCUAUGGACGGGGAUAACCUCGGGAAACUGAGAAUAAUACCCGAUAGAACAUUAUGCCUGGAAUGGUUUAUGUUUCAAAUAAUUUAUUGCCGUAGGAUGGGACUGCGGCCUAUCAGUUUGUUGGUGAGGUAAUGGCCCACCAAGACUAUUACAGGUACGGGCUCUGAGAGGAGUAGCCCGGAGAUGGGUACUGAGACACGGACCCAGGCCCUAUGGGGCGCAGCAGGCGAGAAAACUUUGCAAUGUGCGAAAGCACGACAAGGUUAAUCCGAGUGGUUUCUGCUAAAGGAACCUUUUGUCAGUCCUAGAAACACUGGUGAAUAAGGGGUGGGCAAGUUCUGGUGUCAGCCGCCGCGGUAAAACCAGCACCUCAAGUGGUCAGGAUGAUUAUUGGGCCUAAAGCAUCCGUAGCCUGCUUUGUAAGUUUUCGGUUAAAUCCAUACGCUCAACGUAUGGGCUGCCGGGAAUACUGCAAAGCUAGGGAGUGGGAGAGGUAGACGGUACUCGGUAGGAAGGGGUAAAAUCCUUUGAUCUAUUGAUGACCACCUGUGGCGAAGGCGGUCUACCAGAACACGUCCGACGGUGAGGGAUGAAAGCUGGGGGAGCAAACCGGAUUAGAUACCCGGGUAGUCCCAGCUGUAAACUAUGCAAACUCAGUGAUGCGUUGGCUUGAUGCCAAUGCAGUGCUGCAGGGAAGCCGUUAAGUUUGCCGCCUGGGAAGUACGUACGCAAGUAUGAAACUUAAAGGAAUUGGCGGGGGAGCACCACAAGGGGUGAAGCCUGCGGUUCAAUUGGAGUCAACGCCGGA
rnacentral:rRNA from 1 species